AUUGAACGCUGGCGGCAGGCCUAACACAUGCAAGUCGAACGAGUGGCGGACGGGUGAGUAAUGUCUGGGAAACUGCCCGAUGGAGGGGGAUAACUACUGGAAACGGUACCUAAUACCGCAUACCAUCGGAUGUGCCCAGCCGGGAAUAGCUAGUAGGUGGGGUAACGGCACACCUAGGCGACGAUCCCUCGAUGGUCUGAGAGGCUGACCAGCCGCUCUGGAGCUGAGACACGGUCCAGACUCCUACGGGAGGCAGCAGUGGGGAAUAUUGGACAAUGGGCGCAAGCCUGAUGCAGCCAUGCCGCGUGUAUGAAAAAGGCCUUCGGGUUGUAAAGUACUUUCGGCGAGGAGGCGUUACUCGCAGAAGAAGCACCGGCUAACUCCGUGCCAGCAGCCGCGGUAAUAC
rnacentral:rRNA from 1 species